rnacentral:rRNA from 1 species
GAAAAUGACUCUCGGCAACGGAUAUCUCGGCUCUUGCAUCGAUGAAGAACGUAGCGAAAUGCGAUACUUGGUGUGAAUUGCAGAAUCCCGUGAACCAUCGAGUCUUUGAACGCAAGUUGCGCCCGAAGCCAUUUGGUUGAGGGCACGCCUGCCUGGGUGUCGCG